CAGGUUACCGCAUCCAAGCUGAGGGGAUAAGGGGAUGGAGACAGCCCCCCAGGCAGCUCUAUGGACGCUUCCCCUAGGGAAUCCCUCCAGGAAGCUGGGUCCCGAGCCCUCUCCUCUCUUCUGUACGGACCCACCCAACCAAGUCGGGCUCAAUUUCAUCUGCUCGCACAGGUUACCUCUUAGAAGCCACAUUAAAAUCCCACCUCAUAAAA